rnacentral:rRNA from 1 species
UGAGGAAUAUUGGACAAUGGAGGAGACUCUGAUCCAGCCAUGCCGCGUGCAGGAAGAAUGCCCUAUGGGUAGUAAACUGCUUUUAUACGGGAAGAAAAAGGGGUACGUGUACCCCACUGACGGUACCGUAAGA